UUCACCUAAUUUUGCAUCCUUACAGCUUGAUCAUUUAUCAAAGUUAUGAGGUCUGCGACUUUGUUUCUGUUUUCAUGUGUUAUUAUGUACCUUAUUUUGAAUUCGGUUCCAGAGAUGGAAGCUCAUAAUACCAAAAUGUGCAAAAUCGUUGGAUCUUGGGAGGGUCGAAACUGCACAGGUGACGAUGAAGCUAAAAAUGCUACGUGCGUAGCAGCUUUUGCGGAGACACAAAUAGUUGUUACUAAUUGCACUUGUAAUGAAACUAGUUACGCUGGUCUUAUGUGUAGGUGUCUUAAUCUUUGUUAGGUUUUAAGAUAAUUGUAUAACAAAAAUAUAUUUACUAUUCUCUUUUAUACAAAAAGGGAGUGAAUGUAUA